UACGUAGGGUGCGAGCGUUAAUCGGAAUUACUGGGCGUAAAGCGUGCGCAGGCGGUUUUGUAAGCCAGAUGUGAAAUCCCCGGGCUUAACCUGGGAAUGGCAUUUGGGACUGCAAGGCUUGAGUGCGGCAGAGGAGACUGGAAUUCCUGGUGUAGCAGUGAAAUGCGUAGAGAUCGGGAGGAACAUCAGUGGCGAAGGCGGCCAUCUGGGACAACACUGACGCUGAGGCACGAAAGCGUGGGGAGCAAACAGG
rnacentral:rRNA from 1 species